rfam:Lodderomyces elongisporus NRRL YB-4239 supercont1.6 genomic scaffold, whole genome shotgun sequence.
UAUUAUGAUGAUUUAACAAAAACAAAGCUGGAAUUACUGGCUGAAUCUCUAUGAUUGAUAAGUUUUUGCAAAACGCUUCUGAUA